rnacentral:tRNA from 1 species
AAGGGUAUAGCUCAAGUGGUAGAGCGCAUGCUUAGCAUGCACGAGGUCCUGGGUUCAAUCCCCAGUACCUCCU